rnacentral:rRNA from 1 species
UACAGAGGGUGCAAGCGUUAAUCGGAUUGACUGGGCGUAAAGGGCAUGUAGGCGGUUAUUUAAGUGAUUUGUGAAAUUCCUGGGCUUAACCUGGGCAUUGCAAGUCAUACUGGGUAACUAGAGUCUGAGAGAGGGAAGUAGAAUUUCCGGUGUAGCGGUGAAAUGCGUAGAGAUCGGAAAGAAUACCAGUGGCGAAGGCGGCUUCCUGGCUUAAGACUGACGCUGAGGUGCGAAAGCGUGGGUAGCGAACAGG